GAGUUUGAUCCUGGCUCAGAUUGAACGCUGGCGGCACGCUUAACACAUGCAAGUCGAACGGCAGCACAGGUGCUUGCACCGGGUGGCGAGUGGCGGACGGGUGAGUAAUGCUUAGGAAUCUACCGCGAAGUGGGGGACAACACGAGGAAACUCGUGCUAAUACCGCAUAUGUUCUACGGAAUAAAGAUGGCCUCUAUUUAUAUGCUAUCGCUUUGUGAUGAGCCUAAGUCGGAUUAGCUUGUUGGUGGGGUAAAAGCCUACCAAGGCGACGAUCCGUAGCUGGUCUGAGAGGAUGAUCAGCCACACUGGGACUGAGACACGGCCCAGACUCCUACGGGAGGCAGCAGUGGGGAAUAUUGGACAAUGGGGGCAACCCUGAUCCAGCGAUGCCGCGUGUGUGAAGAAGGCCUGCGGGUUGUAAAGCACUUUAGUUGGGGAGGAGAUUUCGCUUGUGAAUAAUGAGCGGAUGAGACGUUACCCAAAGAAUAAGCACCGGCUAACUCUGUGCCAGCAGCCGCGGUAAUACAGAGGGUGCAAGCGUUAAUCGGAGUUACUGGGCGUAAAGGGCGCGUAGGCGGUUAUUUAAGUCAGUUGUGAAAUCCCAGGGCUCAACCUUGGAACUGCAAUUGAUACUGGGUAACUAGAGUCGAAGAGAGGGAAGCGGAAUUUCCGGUGUAGCGGUGAAAUGCGUAGAUAUCGGAAGGAACACCCGUGGCGAAGGCGGCUUCCUGGCUUCAGACUGACGCUGAGGCGCGAAAGCGUGGGGAGCGAACAGGAUUAGAUACCCUGGUAGUCCACGCUGUAAACGAUGAGUACUAGCUGUUGGUAGGCUUUGUUCUAUCAGUAGCGCAGCUAACGCACUAAGUACUCCGCCUGGGGAUUACGGCCGCAAGGCUAAAACUCAAAGAAAUUGACGGGGGCCCGCACAAGCGGUGGAGCAUGUGGUUUAAUUCGAUGCAACGCGAAAAACCUUACCUACCCUUGACAUCCUGGGAAUCUCUUGUAAUUGAGAGAGUGCCUUCGGGAAUCCAGAGACAGGUGCUGCAUGGCUGUCGUCAGCUCGUGUCGUGAGAUGUUGGGUUAAGUCCCGUAACGAGCGCAACCCUUGUGCCUAGUUGCCAGCAUUAAGUUGGGGACUCUAGGCAGACUGCCGGUGAUAAACCGGAGGAAGGUGGGGAUGACGUCAAGUCCUCAUGGCCCUUAUGGGUAGGGCUACACACGUGCUACAAUGGGCAGAACAAAGGGAAGCGAAGCCGUGAGGUGGAGCGGAUCUCAGAAAACUGUUCGUAGUCCGGAUUGGAGUCUGCAACUCGACUCCAUGAAGUCGGAAUCGCUAGUAAUCGCGGAUCAGAAUGCCGCGGUGAAUACGUUCCCGGGCCUUGUACACACCGCCCGUCACACCAUGGAAGUGGGCUGUACCAGAAGUGGCUAGUCUAACCUUCGGGAGAACGGUCACCACGGUGUGGUUCAUGACUGGGGUGAAGUCGUAACAAGGUAACC
rnacentral:rRNA from 1 species